CCGGUGUCAGUCACAUCAGCUGCCCGGCCAGGCAGGGAGAGAAAUGCCCAGCAGCUUCCGGGAGUGCCAAAUAAAGACAAGUCCAGAAAGAGAGAGAGACGGUGGCAGAGAUGGAGAAAGCAAGCAAAAAAACUGGAAUGCCAGGGGCGACAGUGGCAUGAAAUUUCAUCUGCUCCUUCAACUCUUCCUUCAGCUGAGGACUUGAAGAGUGAGGAUAUCUCAGUUUUGUAUCCACCUGCAAAAUGAGACUGCUGGCAAGAAUCCCUAGAAGAAAAAGACCACUUUUGUGGAUGAAAGAACAGCUCGAAUUCUGCAGUCAAGCUUAUGCUUCUGCUGAAGUCUCUAUACAGUGACAGCUGUGGUAAUGAAUUUCAGUAUGAAGAUUAU